rnacentral:rRNA from 1 species
UAGUAAUCGCGGAUCAGAAUGCCGCGGUGAAUACGUUCCCGGGUCUUGUACACACCGCCCGUCACACCAUGGGAGUCAGUAACGCCCGAAGCCGGUGACCUAACCGAAAGGGAGGGAGCAGCCGAAGGCAGGUCGGAUGACUGGGGUGAAGUCGUAACAAGGUAAC